rnacentral:rRNA from 1 species
UACGAAGGUGGCAAGCGUUACUCGGAAUUACUAGGCGUAAAGCGCAGGUAGGUGGUUGUGUAAGUCUGCUGUGAAAGCUCCCGGCUUAACUGGGAGAGGUCAGCGGAUACUGCAUAGCUAGAGUGUGGGAGAGGGUACUGGAAUUCCCGGUGUAGCGGUGAAAUGCGCAGAGAUCGGGAGGAACACCAAAGGCGAAAGCAGGUACCUGGACCAUUACUGACACUGAGCUGCGAAAGCUAGGGGAGCAAAC